rnacentral:misc_RNA from 1 species
CCCUGUGAAAAAAUUCAAAACGUGCCAUAUGUUUCAAAAUCAAUGCCAUGAAACAUACUUAUUUAGUUAUUCUAUUUUAGCGACAAGGAAAAGCGAAAUUAUAUUCACCCAGAAAAGGAAGCAACAUCAGAUAAAACGGAAGGCUGUAUGGAAUCAGGCACUCCCCCAAUCCAAAUUGACACAACACCAUCAUCAAUGUUGGGGAAACUAGCCAAAUGAUGAGCCGCCAUGUUGGCUAUCCUAGGAACAAAGUCAUAACUCAGUAGAACCAUCAAUAACCUCUAAGAUGAAUAGCCCCAGUUGAGAUAAAAACAUAUUUAUAAUUGUUGAAACAUAGAGUUUUUUCCCAUCAAUUUGUACCUGUUAGAAAUU